AGUGAACGCUGGCGGCGUGCUUAACACAUGCAAGUCGAACGAGAACGGGAUAUAGCUUGCUAUAUUUGUCAGCUAAGUGGCGCACGGGUGAGUAAUGUAUAGAUAACCUGCCCUCUAGAAAGGAAUAACAGUUGGAAACGACUGCUAAUGCCCUAUGUGCCUUUAAUACAUAAGUAUGCAAGGGAAACGCUUUAGUGCUAGAGGAUGGGUCUGUAUGGUAUCAGCUUGUUGGUGAGGUAAUGGCUCACCAAGGCUAUGACGCCUAACUGGUUUGGGAGGAUGAUCAGUCACACUGGAACUGAGACACGGUCCAGACUCCUACGGGAGGCAGCAGUGGGGAAUGUUGCACAAUGGACGAAAGUCUGAUGCAGCAACGCCGCGUGGAGGAUGACACAUUUCGGUGCGUAAACUCCUUUUAUAUAGGAAGAUAAUGACGGUACUAUAUGAAUAAGCACCGGCUAACUCCAUGCCAGCCGCCGCCGUAA
rnacentral:rRNA from 1 species